rnacentral:rRNA from 1 species
AUUGAACGCUGGCGGCAUGCCUUACACAUGCAAGUCGAACGGCAGCACGGGUGCUUGCACCUGGUGGCGAGUGGCGAACGGGUGAGUAAUAUAUCGGAACGUACCUUAUUGUGGGGGAUAACGCAGCGAAAGCUGUGCUAAUACCGCAUAAUCCCUAAGGGGGAAAGCGGGGGACCGUAAGGCCUCGCGCAAUUAGAGCGGCCGAUACCUGAUUAGCUAGUUGGUGAGGUAAAGGCUCACCAAGGCAACGAUCAGUAGCUGGUCUGAGUGGACGAUCAGCCACACUGGGACUGAGACGCGGCCCAGACUCCUACGGGAGGCAGCAGUGGGGAAUUUUGGACAAUGGGGGCAACCCUGAUCCAGCAAUGCCGCGUGAGUGAAGAAGGCCUUCGGGUUGUAAAGCUCUUUUGUCAGGGAAGAAACAGCAGCUCUAACACAGUAUGCGAAUGACGGUACCUGAAGAAUAAGCACCGGCUAACUACGUGCCAGCCGCCGCCGUAA